rnacentral:lncRNA from 1 species
GCAAAUGGUAUGAUGAUUUUGAGGUUGAACACAUUGUGGAACAGGACUUCCAUGUGAACCCGGACAUGACCGUGAAAGUGCUCAUGAUCCAUUGGUGGGAUAGAUUUUUCUUGUUAGAUCUGUCCAGCUGGGUGAUGGUACAGCAUCAUAUGGGCGAUGCUACUGACUUCUUCAUGUUGCCUGAACAAGGGAAGAUGCAGGAGCUAGAGGAAACCUUGAAUCAAAGACACUUUGAAAAUAUCAUAGAGCUUAUUGGACUGCAGAUUUGUACUUCCCCAGAUUUUCUAUAACCACAUUCUAUGAUCUGAAGACCAUCCUGAGCACACUGGGCAUCACCAAGAUCUUCAGCCAUGAUGCUGACCUCUCAGAGGUCACACAGGAUGCUCCCCUGAAGCUCGACAAGGUGAGAUCGUGUUACCAUGGCAGUAUCCUAGCUGUCAGGAGGCCCAAAGGGAGCUGUGCACAAGACUGUACUGACCUUCGAAGAGGAAGUGACAAAACCUACAAGGAACACCAGUUGAAGUAAGAGGGACUCGCCUCAAAAUCUAUCUAUCUACUUCAACAGGCCCUUCGUAUUUGUCAUUAAAGAUGAAUAACCAAUUGCCUUCUUUUUGUGGGGAAAGUGAUCAAUCCCACAACAAAUGA